UAGGGAAUCUUCCACAAUGGACGAAAGUCUGAUGGAGCAACGCCGCGUGAACGAUGAAGGCUUUCGGGUCGUAAAGUUCUGUUGUAAGGGAAGAACAAGUGCCGCAGGCAAUGGCGGCACCUUGACGGUACCUUGCGAGAAAGCCACGGCUAACUACGUGCCAGCAGCCGCGGUAAUACGUAGGUGGCAAGCGUUGUCCGGAAUUAUUGGGCGUAAAGCGCGCGCAGGCGGCCUCUUAAGUCUGAUGUGAAAGCCCCCGGCUCAACCGGGGAGGGCCAUUGGAAACUGGGAGGCUUGAGUAUAGGAGAGAAGAGUGGAAUUCCACGUGUAGCGGUGAAAUGCGUAGAGAUGUGGAGGAACACCAGUGGCGAAGGCGACUCUUUGGCCUAUAACUGACGCUGAGGCGCGAAAGCGUGGGGAGCAAAACAGGAUUAGAUACCCUGGUAGUCCACGCCGUAAACGAUGAGUGCUAGGUGUUGGAGGGUUUCCGCCCUUCAGUGCUGAAGCUAACGCAUUAAGCACUCCGCCUGGGGAGU
rnacentral:rRNA from 1 species